rnacentral:misc_RNA from 1 species
AACAUCGCGCACCUGCGGGAACCUGCGGAAGGAUCAUUAUUGAAUAAACUUGGUUGGGCUGUUGCUGGCUUCUUGGAGCAUGUGCACGCCUAGCACCAAUUUUUACCACCUGUGCACCAUUUGUGGACCUGGAUACCUCUCGAGGAAACUCGGUUGGAGGACUGCUGUGCGAAAGCCAGCUUUCCUUACAUUUCCGGUUCAUCUUUUCACAUACCCCAUACGAAUGUAACAGACUGUUGU